rnacentral:lncRNA from 1 species
UUCUAAACAAAUAUAAUUGAAUACAUUAACACGACAGUACUGUUAACUAAAAAUAUAUCCGAUAAUUAUUACUUCUCUUUCAAAGCAAAUACUACAUAUCACCGUCCAAUAAUUGUACAAGAAAUAAAAAUAUAUAUUUUCUAAUUUAUAGAAUAAAUAAUAAUAAAGUAGUAAAUAUUUUAAAUAUCAAACAAGAUUGAUGAUUCUAUCCAUGGUAUGGAAAACCACUUUAUUUAGUCACAUGUGAUCGUCAUCUCUGCAACCUGAAACAUUUCCUGUAUUCAUCAUGCAGACUUUCCAGGAGUUCCUAGACCUGGAGAACCUUUACCGCGACAAUCGGUGAUGGGUGAGCAACCCCUUUGCCAUCGAUGGGCUUCUUGAGGCGGAGCCUUGGGAUUCUGGCGACAACCCACUGGUGGACUCGGUCCAUGGCAUGGGUUUAGGAACUUAUCAAUGUCAACCUCACCAUGUACGUGCAUGACCAAAAUCAUGCUGACAAGAGUCAGACAUAUGAGCCAUUUCUUCAUGAUGGAGAGUCCCAUGAUCUCUAUGUUAAAUUCCUUUUUCUUUAGCUUCCAAUGCGUGGCUAGUCAUGUGAAGGGAGUUUAUAUAGAUUUUGGAUAUGGAGACCUUUGGGGAGUCGAAUGUCUUAAUAUAGAAGAAGUGCUUAAAAUAAAGAAGGGCAAAACCCUUUUAUUUGGAUGGUUGGAAAAUGAUUUAGAAAAAUAAUUUUUGACAACUAUUUUAACUAUUUAAGGAAAAUUGUUCGUUAUUGUUCUGUAACGUAAAUAAAAGUUUCUUUUAACCUAUUUUUUAACUACGACAAAUGUCAUUUAUUUGACCAAAUUUUUAGUGUCAAUGACUUCAAAAUAUUUCCUUGGAGUAAAAAAUAAAAAAUAAUUUGGUAUAUGAUUGUUAGGUAUUUUUGGGCAUAAAAUAUAUAUGUCACAUUUCACAGUGAUAAAUGUCAAAUAUUUCAUUAAUUCUUUCAAAUCAAUGACUCCAAAAUUUCAAUUUACAAAGUUUUUGCCCAAACUUUUGUUUUCUUUGUUCAGUUCAACACAUAGUCUUAGAACAUGCCCAAAUUUUGAUAGUGACCCUAAAAUGUUUUUGAAAUGAAGAUGAUAAAAAAUGUUAAAUAAUAAUAAUAAUAAUAAUAAUAAUAAUAAUAAUAACUAUUGUUUUUGUUUUGUGGUUAUGAGAGCUCUAUGUUUUUGCUAAACUAUUAUGAUGCUUUCAAUGCUUAAUUAUGUUAUAUGCAUGACACUAAAAAUUUCAUUUAUAGAAUAUUAAUUAAAUUUAAUUUAAGUUUUAUAAAAAAAUGAAAACAAUUUCAUGAUUAAAAAUAAAUAGCUUUGAAUAAAAUAUGAAUAGUAAUAUUAUAAUAAAAUAAAAAAUUAUUGUUAUUUUUUGAGAAAAAUAAUAUUUUGGAAGAUGUUAGAAAAAUAUGAAUAUUAACAUCUUCAUAAAAAAAAGUAUAAUUGAUUUAAUCUGUAAUUAGUUGGAUUAGUUUUUAAAAUUCUAAAUUAUUUUUAAAAAUUAGAAGAUUUAUUAAAUAAUUUAUAUUAUUAAUUAUGUAUCACUUAAUUUAGAACCUAUUUAUAUAGUUAGAAAAUUACAAAAAAAAUGGUAUUUCAUAGGAGAAACAGUAAAGUCAUAAUUUAUAAUGUAUCGAUUUUGGUCUAUUAUUUUUUGUAGUGAUUAGAUUUAUUUUUAAUUUUGAGAAUUAUUGACCUCAUUAUCAACAUAAAGUGUCACUUAAUUUGAAAUUCAUUUCUCAGGUAAGAUAAUUUAUAAUAAUAUAAUUAUAUGCAAAAAAGAAAUAAAAAAAGUCAUUGUAAAAUAUUUUUUAUCCAUAAUUUUGUUUUUUAUUAAUUGGAUCAUUGUUUAAGUUUUAAGUUAUUUCUAAAAAUUAUUAGGCUUGUUAAAAAUUCAAUGCAUUCAAUCUUGUUUAAGUUGUAGUUUAUUUGUGUGGUAAGGAAAAAGAAAAAGAAAAAUAUGGUUCUAUAUAAAGGACAAACAAUACAUUCAUUUUAAACUAAUUUUUAUCCACAAUGUUUUUAUAUUAAUUAAAUCAAUAUUUAAGUUUCAAGUUAUUUAUGAAAAUUCCUAAACUCGUUAUGAAUUCAAAGCAUUAAGUCUUGCUUAAUUUGCUUAAAUCAAUUAAGUGCCAAAAUAAGAUAGUAUUUGGAAAAAUGACCUUUGCCUUUUAAAAACCUGAAGAAUGCACCAUUUUGGACUAAAUUACCCCUGAAAAAAAAAAAGAAACCUUUGAAAUUCAAAAGAGUAGAAAGGAAGAGAAAGAGAACAAACCAAGGAUUCUCUCUUGAAUGGUAGACUACAACACACUCUAUGGUCUUCUGAUAUAUAUAUAUAUAUAUAUAUAUAUAUGAAAUGAAAAUAAAACUUAAUUAAAAACCAUCCAUAUAGGAGGUAAUCAAAACAUACUUAUAUUAUAUAUAAGGAGAAAUAUCUUACAAUGAACAAAGGUAGGAAAGCUUGAAGAAAGCUUGAAAGCUUGAAGAGGUUACAUGAUGAGAGAGAAAGAAGAGAGAAGGGAGAGCAUAGGAGCCUAAAAUUGAACGUGCUCGGAAGCCUUAAUUAUGUGUCAGAUUUCAUACAAGAUUUAAGCCAAUUAUGUGCCCCUUUAAGACAAAGACUUAAGAAAAAUCCAGUCCCUUGGAAUGAGGAUCAUACCAAGAUUGUUAAAAUAGUAAAGUCUAGAGUCAAAACCUUACCAUGUCUCGCCUUAGCUGAUCAUAAAGCCUUUAAGAUUGUUGAGACUGAUGCUUCUGACAUAGGUUUUGGUGGAAUUCUUAAGCAAAGAGGUAAUAAUCAAGAAUUCUUGGUUAGAUUCACUUCUGGAACUUGGAAUCAUGCCCAACUCAACUACAACACUAUCAAAAAGGAAAUUUUAAGCAUCGUUUUAUGCAUUUCAAAAUUUCAAGAUGAUCUUUUAAAUCAGGAAUUUUUAUUAAGAGUAGAUUGCAAAUCUGCAAAAUCAGUUUUACAAAAGGAUGUUAAAAAUAUAGCUUCUAAACAUAUUUUUGCUAGAUGGCAAGCUAUUUUAAGCAAUUUUGAUUUUCAAAUUGAGUAUAUUAAAGGAGAAAAUAACUCAAUCCCUGAUUUCCUAACUCGUGAAUUUUUGCAGGAUUCACAAGACCAUGGCCCCCAAGAAAGACAAACAACCUUUUAGGUCCAUUAAACCUACAGAUUCUAAGAAUUCCCAUUCAGCUCUUUCUGAAAAAUUCAUGCCACUUUAUUAUGACCAUUUUGAAGUAGCAGGUCUGAUAUUAGCCUGUCAUCUGUCCUCUCAGCCGAAAGCAAGAUUCCGGGUCAAAAGUCAAUAGUGUUACAGUUCCCUCUUACUGUUCACUGUUACUAUUCAAGCACUAUUCAAGCACGGGUCUACUAUUCAUAGUUACUAUUCAAGAUUCCUUUUUGUUCUUCCAGCCAUUUCAAUCAUCACAUUCCUUCAGCAUCCCCUAGUAGGGAUAUAGAUUCAAGCUCGGAAUCUCUACCUUUUGUGGAAGAUUCUUUCCCCACAAAUCCAUCUUUUAACAAUACUAACACUUCAUCUGAUUAUAUCAAUUGCAUUUUUGAAUGGCAGGGAAGGUAUGAGAUUCUUGAAAGGAAACUUGAAUUAGUUGACUUUCAUAAGCUCAUGUUAAAAGCUCAAGCCUCAUUUUCCCCACUGGAAAAUGGUGAGAAUAAGCAUUCUACCCCACUGGUGAAUGAUAAAUUGAGUGAGGAAGAGUUGGGUUACCGUAUGCUACGAAUGUAUCAUCGUAAGACAGAGAAUCUAUACUCUCUUAAGCCAGAUCUACGUCUUCUAAUUUUGGAAAAGGCUAAGUCCUCAGCAGAAGAAAGACAAAUCUUCAUCUCUUCAUACCUCCAGGAUCUUCAUCUUUAUCUUUCUACCAAUAUUGGUCUUAAGGUCCCAGGAUUAAGCUUGGUUACUGAUAAGGAAGUUGAUGAUUCAAAAAUUUGCAGAAUGAUUGAAGAACCUUUCCAGUACCAACAAGGCAUCAAGAAAAUGAUUUGCAACUGCAACAGAAAUUUCACAAUCAGUCGUGUUUGCUUGGACUUACAAUACUAUUUGCCAAUUAGCAUCAAAUUCAAGGGUGAAGAUUUAUUAUUAACUCUAGAAAAGCUUCUGGACCAUGGUUUGGUUCAUCAAAUCAUCUGUUCUGAUCCCAACCAAGUUUCCCAGUUUGGAAGAAAAAUUGCUCUUGGUCUAACCCAAGGUUUUAAAAUGAAUAAGAAAUUCGCGGACGCCAUCAUCAUCAGCAAAGCUCCUGAGUGGGUUUCUAGUGGCAAGCUUAUUCCAGCUCAACACAUUGUUUCUCUUCACUAUCAGAAUAGGAGACCUACUCGUCUAUCUUACCCUCUGCUAUUUUCUGAUAUUUGUGCUGAACCCAUUAUUAAGCAAAUCAAACACUGGAGAGCUAGAACUAUUUGCAGGGAUUUUGAGGCUUUUCCAGGAAAUAUGGGACAUCUUAUUGCUGCAGAUUCCUGUCAUCAAAUUUUUUGUGGCAAAAAGUUAGACCCUCUUCCAGCCUUGACUAUUACUGAAGAUAUCAAGCUUCUUGAUGAACAUCGUAAGGAUUACUCUUGAUGGCCUGUCAACAAGAAUAUUUUCUAGCCAAGCAGUUUUCAGCAACAAAAGCAGCCUGUCAUCUGUCUUCUCAGCCGAAAGCAAGAUUCCGGGUCAAAAGUCAAUAGUGUUACAGUUCCCUCUUACUGUUCACUGUUACUAUUCAAGCACUAUUCAAGCACGGGUCUACUAUUCAUAGUUACUAUUCAAGAUUCCUUUUUGCCUAUUUAAGGAGGCUCGGUCCUCAUUUGUGAGCACAUUCAAUUUUAGGCUCCUAUGCUCUCCCUUCUCUCUUCUUUCUCUCUCAUCAUGUAACCUCUUCAAGCUUUUAAGCUUUCCUACCUUUGUUGAUUGUAAGAUAUUUCUCCUUAUAUAUAAUAUAAGUAUGUUUUGAUUACCUCCUAUAUGGAUGGUUUUUAAUUAAGCUUUAUUUUUAAGUUUUUUAUUUUGUACCGCCUACAUGGUCGGUUUUAUGUUUUUAUUUUGUAUCGCCUACAUGGUCGGUUUUAAGCUUAUUAUGAACUAACAAGUUUUUGGUUCCUUCUCUUUAAAUUUCAUUGUAGGAUAUCUUUUGUAUUUUCUAACCCUUUUCUUUGUUUUGAAUCAUGGCAUAAUUCCUAUUUUCAUUGCACAUGACCUUGUCCUGGGUGUCUAUGGUAUCAGAGCCAUGUGGGAGGGAAGUUGGGUCUUGUUUUGGGUGUUCUUGGCCUAUCCUAGGAUAGGUAGCAGUGUGCUUAGGAGCGCGAGCCCUGCCGGUUGAGCCGUUGUUAGCCGUGGAUAGGCGUUUGUUAGGCUGUAAGAGGGUUGGGGUGACGUCUCAUAAGGUUUGUCAAUCUGCUAUUAGGCUCUAGAUCAAAAACCCUAAAAUGAGUUCAAUUUUCAGAACCAUGUCUAGGAGAUCCAGUGAUUCUCAAGAUACUGUUGUAAACAGUGAAGAGAUCAAUUAUCCUAAGAUCCAAAAUGAUUUAGAUGAUUGGAAGUUACCCAAGGUGUCUAAUCAAGAAAUUUAUAAGAAAGGAACCUUUAAGUUCUUCACAGAUUAUACCAUUAAGACCUCUAAAAUGACAGUCAGUUUAGAACAAGACAACCAAGUCAUAAGACUUCUAGAUAACAGAUCCGUUGAAAAGCAUAAGAAAGAUGGCUAUAAUUUCAUACACUUUGGUAUGAUUCAAGUAGCAGCUAAGCCUUUGACAAGAUUAGGUUUAAACACCGCUAUUGUCAUGUGUUUAAGAGAUAAUAGGCAUCUCGAAUAUCGAGAUUCUAUUAUAGGCGCAGUCCAAGCUGGACUGAAUGAUGGCCCAGUUUAUUUCCAGUGCUAUCCUAACUUCACAGUUAGAUUAAAAGAUGCAGACAUCUUAGAUUCAGUUGUCCUGCACAUUAAGACCCAUGGCUUUAAGAUCAAACCAGGAAACAGUCCUGUUUCAAUCAUAACCAGGUUUGCCUAUAAGAGCAUGAACACAAGCGUUGGAUCUGGGUCUCUUUGCACCAGUCCUAAAGGAGAGACCACUUACUUUCACUCAUAUAUGCUAGAUAAGUCAGAUUUCAUCAUCCCCAAGAAGAUCUUGUGGAAAGAUGUUGAUUUCCUUGAAAAAUUGGCAUUUUGCUAAUGCUGUUCCAGCCAUAGCACAACGUUCUGAAAGUAUUGAACAAAUAGUUCAAUAUCCAGAUGGAGGAGGAGAACUCAUUUUUUCCAAAUCUUUCAGACAUUCUAACAGCCCUAGAGUUUCUGUUUAUGAAUCCUCUAGAGCUUCAAGCUCUUCCAUCCCAGUUAGAACCACUAGGGAAGAAGAAGGAUCCAGCUCAGGAAAUCCUAAUAAUGUUAAGCUAACAGGUGUCAGAAGUUACACCAAUGCGGCUAGACCAUUUUACUCUGAGGAAAAUGAGUCUACUCAGGAAUCCCAACAGGAUGAGUCCCCUGUUAUGUCUCCUACCUAUUCCCAGAUGAUUAACACAAUAAGCCUAAGUGAUGAGGACUUUGAGAUCAACAAGGAUCUCUUAAGAAAGGACUUCUAUUCUGAAGUCAAUAAGCAAAGAAAUGAUUGGUUCUUUAGCACUGUCCCUAAGGUCAUUAGAACCAUUUACCAAAAAGAAUUCUAUGCCUACUUAAGACAAGAAAAGAAAAACAUUAAGUUUUGGAUUUGGUUUGAACUCUUCAAACAACAGGAAUAUCCAGAUUAUCCUUGUAAGCGUGUAGAUAACACUAAGAGCACUAAUAAAACUAAGCCCUUUGAAUUUUCUAAGGAAUUCGAAGAAAAUCCCCAAAUCAACCAGGCUUUUGUUGAUAGAAUUAAUCAGAAGAUUAAGGAUAAUCUUGUUGCCCCUUUGACUGUUCAGCCUGAUAAGAGAAUCAAUAUGGUUAAAGGUGAAAUUAGUUCAGAAGAAGAAGCUGAUGAACUAAUUAAGAUGUUUGAGGGACCCCAUAAUCAAAUUAUUAACAACUUGGAAACCUUUAAGACUAGGAAUUACUAUCCUAGGCCUACUUUUCCUGACAUGCAGUUUGAGGAAAGAAAUCAGUAUACUCAAGCCUCUUACACCAGUGGUACUAUCUAUGAAUGGAACAUAGAUGGUAUGACCGAGUAUAACAUACUCACUAAGCUUCAAGAAAUGACCAUGGUAAGUACAUCCUAUAAAUUAAACAAUAGACUGCCAGAUCAUGCUGUAGCUCAGACCAUUGUUGCUGGGUUUAUAGGUCAGCUUAAGGGUUGGUGGGAUAAUUAUCUCACUUUUGAUGAUAGGAAUAGUAUCCUUAAAGCCUAUAGGAUUAAUGAGAGUAAUGAAGUUGUUAAGGACGAAGAUGGCCAAGAUAUUGAGGAUGCAGUGGCUACUCUAAUCUACUCAAUAUCCAAGCACUUCAUUGGAGAUCUUGCAAAAAUUAAGGAUAAAACUGCAGAUCUCUUAACCAACCUUAAGUGUCCCAAGCUUCAUGAUUUUAGGUGGUAUAGGGAAGUCUUCCUAACCAAAGUCAUGCUAAGAUCAUAUUGUAACCAGUCUUUUUGGAAAGAAAAAUUCAUCUCAGGAUUACCCAAGCUUUUCUCUGAGAGAAUUAGGAUCAAGAUAAGGGAACAGUAUAAUGGUCAAAUCCCUUAUGAUAAGCUAACCUAUGGUGAGAUUAUAAACAUUGUCACAGCUGAAGGGAUUAAGUUGUGCAAUGACUUUAAGCUUAAGCAACAAAUGAAGAAUGAACAAAAAAUCUACAAGAAUGAAUUUGGAUCAUUCUGUAGCCAGUUUGGUUUCAGCCAAAAAGAAACUAUGCCUCCCUCUAAGCAAAAGCCAAGCAGGAAGCCUAGCAAAGAUAAGUUUUACCACAGUAAGAGAGGUACCCAUGACAACUAUAGGAUGAAUGAUACUAAGCAUUCAAGGCACGUCCAAAGAAGGGUCAACAAAGAUACCCAUAAAAAGAUAGAAACUCCUUUAGACGUCAAGCCAAUUAUCUGUUUUAAAUGUGGCAAAGUUGGCCAUUAUAAGAAAGAUUGUAGAGUUAAGCAAAAGAUUAACAACUUAAGUGUCUCAGAUGACCUAAAAAAUAUGCUUUGUAAGGUAAUGUUAAACUCCUCAGAUUCUGAAUCAAGGACUGAUUCAGAUAAUGAAGAUGAUAUUAAUCAACUAGAUAGCAGUGGCGAUGUUUCUAGCCAAACUUCUAGUGACCAAGAUGUUUGUAUUAAGGGUAAUUGUAAUUUCCGUCCUAAAACCAUAAAUGUCAUAAGCCAGGAUCAGGAGUUCAUCCUAGAUACUUUAAGAAAAGUUGAAGAUGAAAAGACUAAGCAAAAUCUUUAUGAAGUUUUUAAGAAAUCUGUGGUUAAGGUAGAAGCCAAGAAGACUGUUAAUCCUUAUAACCUUAACGAUAUCUUAAACAGGUUUGACCAGCAGUUUCCCAAGGAUGUCAGCUUUAAGGAACUUCAUGAAGAAGUUAAGCAGCAUAAAAAGAAGAUUAAGGAGUUAAGACAAUUCAUAAGUCUAGGUCUCUCUGAUCUCCAAGAUCAAAUCAAUAGAAUUGGCAACCAAGAAAACCAUAUGGAUAUUCCAGAAUCUUCUCAUGUUAAUGAUAAUGAGACAGAUACUUUUUUUAAUACUGUGAGUAGGGUUAUCUUCCAGAGGUGGGAAGUCUCCCUUACUAUAGUAGUCAAAGAUAAAUUUGUCUUUGAUAUUAUUGCUUUGAUUGAUUCAGGAGCAGCUGAAAAUUGCCUUCAAGAAAGUCUUGUACCUAUUUCUUUAUGCGAAGAGACUAGUCAGUCUCUAUUUGGAGCCAAUGGCAAAAGACUUGUCAUUAAGUAUAAAUUAACAGAUGUUCAUAUCCGUAACCAUGACAUCAGUAUUAAGCAAACCUUUAUCCUUGUUAAGGAUCUUAAGGAAAAAACCCUUCUAGGAAUACCCUUCUUAAGCUCUAUUUAUCCCUUGUGGGUAGAUAACCAAGGUAUAAGAACAAAGCUUUUUGAUAAGGAAAUUCUUUUUGAAUUUGCUAAUCCUAUUGAAAACAUCACUCCUUGUGAUCAAGGAAUUAAUCUUGUUAAGAUUAAUGAGCCACCUGAGAUACUAGGAACCCAUUUCAUUCAUAAUAUCAUUAUAAAUGAUAUUUUAAGCAUUUCUUUAUGCAUUUCAAAAUUUCAAAUUGGGAUUUUGAAUCAAGAAUUUUUACUAAAAAUUAUUUUCAAAGAUUUUGAAAAAAUUAAAUAUAUAACUUUUAAGUAUGAUUUAAUUAACUGGUAUAUUAUUUUAAAAUCUAAGUUUCAAAGUUACUUUAUUAAAGGAGAUUAUUUCAACCCUAAUCAGCUAUCUCGUGAAUUUUGCAGGGUUCAUGAGAUCAUGGCCCCUAAAAAGAAUAACCAAGCUUCUAGCUCUCAAAAACCCCAAUCCAGUCAAGCUAACCAAUCUCCUUCUACCCAUAAAAUGUUUUGGAGUCAACAAGUUGAAGAAGAAGAAGCACAACUUUUGGCAAAGCUUCAUUCUUCUAAACCUAUGCAUGAAUCCAGUCAUAUGCCUAACAAAAUGUUAACCUUAUACUAUGAUCCUUCUGAUCAUUCUAAACCAAUUAAGGCAACACAAUAUCCAGCUACCUCAGGGUCUCAGACCUUUAAGCAGGUUACUAUGGCUAAUCCCUCUCAAAAGGAAUUAGCAACAAGCUCUUCUUUCUCAAGUAAACAAAUUGUGGUGGCUGCCAACCCCACACCUCUUUCAACAAAAUCAAGAUAUUGGCAAAAUGAUUUAAAUCAAUCUCUUUUAGUUAUUGAAAGAGAAUUUUUCUCUGAAAACCCCAGAGAGAUUGCUGCAAAAUCAUUUCAAGAAAAUUUUCAUUAUCCCUCUGGUGAUAUUUUAAAAACAAGAGAGUUUUAUGAAGCAGUCCUUAUAGAAACUGGUUCUGUUAAGAUUAAGCAUAACGCUGAUAAAUUCAGCAAUAUGGGCUUGGCAUUCUUCACCUGCCAUAUCUAUAAGAUCCUUACAGUCAAGCAAUGGGGUGGAAAUCCUAAUCUUUCAAGGGAAUUUUCUGAACCAUCUAAGCCAAGGUUUUUUAAUUAUUGGGAUUAUCAGAGAGCAUGGUUUAAUGCUUUUCUGAUCCAGAAUAGGGACUUCCAUCAUUCAUGGAUGUUCUAUUUUCCAUCUAAGAACCAGCUUUCCUCUUUCCCAUUUUGGUUCUACAGUUGGUGGACUUAUUACGGUCCAACUAUUAAGAUUCUUCCUAAGCCCAUUCUGGAUGGCUUUGAGCUAUUCAGAAGUUCUUUUAAUAUUCCCAGAGAACUUUCAGCUUUUCCUCCUUUACUAUUCUUUUUUAGCAAUUUUGGCCUGGCUUGGAUAGUCCAGUGGGACUAUAUUAUUAUUACAGACGAAUCAGCAGCCUUUCCAUAUCUGGGAAGGACUUUUAAAACUAAAUGGUGGGAUGCAUUGAAAAAUGAUGCAUCUAUUGAUGCGGUCAAGCAGUAUUUCCUCAAGAAUCCCUCACAAGUCUCAACCAGUGAUGAUAUGUCUCAGUUUCUCCUCAAAAAGCAACAGUUACAAGCCAUGCUUGCAGUAGCUAAGACCCCUCAAGAGUUUCAGAAAAUCCUUGAUGAAGGAAGCUCAAGCUUCUCCCAAGAAAAUUCUUAUGCAGAGUCUGACGAUUCAACAAGCUACCUUCCAGACAAUGGUGAUGACUGUGAAUGAAUCCUUCCUCCAAUAAGAAGAUCUAAGUAAUCAUCAGCCUUUUGUCUUCCAUCAAGAGUAUUUUACAAGCUUUGCAGUAUCUGUUCCAAAAGCAGCAAGUAUGUGUCUACACAGUAUAAAGUAGCUUGCCAGAAGUCUUCUCAGCCGAAAAAAGGGUGUUUCGGGGAUUUUCAGUAUAAAAGUGAAUCUUACUAUUCACUAUUCACUAUUCACUAUUCAAGCACGGGUCCACUAUUCAUGGUUACUAUUCAAGAUUCCUUUUUUGCCUAUUUAAGGAGGCUCGGGCCUCAUUUGUAAGCACGUUCAAUUUUAGGCUCCUAUGCUCUCCCUUCUCUCUUCUUUCUCUCUCAUCAUGUAACCUCUUCAAGCUUUCAAUCUUUCUUCAAGCUUUCCUACCUUUGUUCAUUGUAAGAUAUUUCUCCUUAUAUAUAAUAUAAGUAUGUUUUGAUUACCUCCUAUAUGGAUGGUUUUUAAUUAAGUUUUAUUUUCAUUUCAUUUUAUGUUCUUAUACCUCCUACAUGGAUGGUUUUAAUUAAGCUUUAUUUUUAAGUUUUUUAUUUUGUACCGCCUACAUGGUCGGUUUUAUGUUUUUAUUUUGUAUCGCCUACAUGGUCGGUUUUAAGCUUAUUAUGAACUAACAAGUUUUUGGUUCCUUCUCUUUAAAUUUCAUUGUAGGAUAUCUUUUGUAUUUUCUAACCCUCUUCUUUGUUUAUAUAUAUAUAUAUUGUAGAUUUGCGUAUUGUUAUUGAUUAUUUGUGUAAAAGGAUUCUAAAAGGUUAUUCAUUUGAUUGAAGUGUUAAUUUUUUUUUCUCCAGUUUCUGAAAAAACGCGGGAAUGGGAGAGAACGAAACAAAAUAGAAGAAAACUGAAAAGGAUCUUGAAAAGUAUGUUUAUUACUUUGAAAUAGUUUGUUUUUUUUGGAUUCUCUCUUUGUUGAUUUCAUACAUUUGCUUGAGGUGUGUGUUUUCUUUCUGCAUGGUUUUAGAAAAAAUGCGAGAAAAAGUAAUGGGUUUAUACGUUCACUUUUUAUUAAGCAUAAAUAUAAGGGUUUUUCUUUAAUUUGUUAGCAUAUUCCUCUUUGAUUUUGAACUCUGAAAACACAUUAGUCUACCAAAGAAGAUAUCUAGUUAAAUUGAAAAAAAAAUGUCUUUAAUUAGAUUUCUUGGCUAUUUUAUUUUGAUGUUUUGGUCUAGUUGUUAAGAUUUUGAAGCAUGAUGUUGUGGCAAAUGCUUUGUUUCUAUAGUGUAGAAAUCUAGUAGAAAAGUGACAAAUGUGUUGACCAAUUUGGUUUUCUAAAGAGUUGAAUCAUAAUAAGAGAAAUAGAAUUUGUCCCCAUUUUGAUAUCUCCUCCUUGGUGAUUGGAAGAAACAUUUCAUUCGUCCCAUAGGAAAAUGAAUUUGUUUCCUUAAACCCUCCAGGUGGAGAUAUUGAAAGUGUUGUUGAAGUCUUUUUCCAUGAGCAGUGUUGGAAGAAUGGUUUUGAUUUCUUUUCCAAAAUUCAAAGCCCUUUUUUUAGAGUAGUUUUGGCUUAUAUCAUAAAGUAAAAACAAUACUUCUUCUAUGAGCAUUCAUGUCAAUUAUUCUCCUUUUGUGUUGCUUAACUUUUAAGUAAUUGAACCAAUAUGAUAUACAUGAAUAGUCAUUCUUUUCUAGUAAUGACAAAAUUGGAGAUCAUUGUAGUCUUUGCCAGUUGGGUGUCUAGUUUUUUAGUAGUGUGGGAAUUUUUUUUUCCUAUUUGUAGUUCUUUUCCCAAGGGAUAGGAAGUUGGUUUAAUUGAAAACCUCAAUUUUCAUCAAGCAAUUUGCAUCCUUUGCCUAUCUAUAAUUUCCAUUUCGCUUGUAUGGAUUGAGAAUUAAAUCCCUGCUCUCCCUUGGAUGUGAACCAACUUUAAGAAGCACCCCAUCAAGGUCUAAACCCAGUUUGCUUUUACUAGAUCAUAAGUGACAUUUGUUAAAUUUGGGACCUAGUUGGUCCUACAAUGCAAACCACAACAUUGAAAUAGUAAUCUCUAACAAAAGUCAUGACAAAGAAUGAUCCCAACUAAGGAUUGAAAUAUUACUCACAACUAAGAUAUUGAGUGAGAUGAUGCAUAUGCAUAGCCAAAAUACUUCUACCAUAUGCUUUCUAUUAGUAAGUAUGGUCUUUUAGAACUUCAUUUAUAUCUAGAUAUAGAUGCAAGGAAAAGUAAUAUGACAUGGACUCAUGAUUAGUUCUUAAAAUUUAGGCAUGAAUAACCAAAGUGUUUGAACUUAUUAGAAAAUCAUGUGCAUCGUGCAAUCUCUUUCAUCAAUAAAAGAUUUAAAAGAAUUCAAUGAAAAAUGUAGUGUAAGUUUUAUGAAAAUGUAAAUUUCUAAAAAUUGUUUCUUAGGUGAUGUAAAAGAAUGUUAUACAAUGGUCUCUAUUUCUCUCUCUCUCUCUCUCUUUAUAUAUAUACAUAUACUUAGUAUAAACUUAUGGAUUUUAAUAAGUAAAUGGAUGAUUGUUAUUUGAAUUUUUUUAUAUUUAUUUUUUAGGGACAAGGAAAAAAAAAUAGAUUUUCAAUCUAGUAUAACUCCAAAAGUGAUCAUCCUAGAAAGUGAACUACUCAUCUUUAAUGGCAAAUACUGAAGAAUCUAAUGAGAAGGUUUGUAUUUUUUGUAUAUUUGGGAUGUUAAUGUGUUGAUGAUUCUUGUAUAUGAGAUCAAUCCUUCAAUAGAAAAAUAUAUAUCUAUUGCAUUUCAUAUGCUAAAAAUAUACCAAAUAAGUUAAGCCUAGAUAUUAAGUCUAUGGAUGAUAUUAUAUCUCAAGUUUGCCAUAAAUAAUGAACUAAUCAAGUUAAGUUUUUUAUAUGUUAAUCAAAAUAUUCAUUUAAACUAAACUAUAGUUAAGUUUUAUAUAGAAAGAAUUUAACCGAGGUUAAGUUAUUAAAAAAUAAAAAUUCACCUGAACUUAGCCAAGGUUAAGUCUCAUUAACAAAUAACAUAGCUAUAGUUAAGUUCUCAAUUAAAAUAUUUGAAACUUGCUUACAAUAUAAUUAAUUGAAUCGGUAUUUUGAUUUUAGUAGAAGUAGUUAAAUUUUUUGUAAUUUAUUUUAGUUCAUGCAGAAUGUUUGUAACUCUUAAUAUAUUUUCUUAAUGUGAAGCACAAUGUAUGUGACUUUGUCGGCUACCACUUCUUCAACAAUCUUCAUACAGAAAAUACGUAAUGAAGAUCACUUCCCAUCUAAGGUGGCUUGAUUAUCCCACAUUAUUGCCAUUGACAACAUAAAUAAGAACUUGAAUGAAACCCAACUAUAGAUGUUUAAAACAUCUUGUUUUGCCCACUUCUUGGGUAUGGCUGAUUUGAAAUUUUCUGCUCAAAUUGUUCAUAACAUGUUGUUAUGCCAAUGUGACAUUAAAAAAAAAAAAAAAAAAAAAAAAAGAUGAUACGUGGAUACUUGUUCACUCUAAAGGUUUGAGAUUUAGUGCGUUGGAGUUUGCAUUGAUAACCAGAUUGAAAUUUGGGAAAAUUUCACAAUUUGACAUAACAUCUUUGAUGAUAAGAGAUCGGUAUUUUAAUAGAGAGAAUAAGAUUUGUAGUGAUCGAUUGGAAGAGGUUUUCAUUGCAUUAUGUAAGAAAAGAAAGAGAAUGAGCACAAAGAAGACAAAAAACAAGGCAAAGUUAAAUGGGAAAUCAAAUCUUGAUGAAGACAUUGUGAAGUUAGCAUUGUUGUACUUUGUUGAGCAUGUUCUACUAAGAAAAGAAUGGAAGAAUUUGAUAGAGUUACAAUGAGUUCAACUUGUUGAUAAUUUAGAGGAGUUCAACAAGUAUUCCUGUAGGAAAAAUUUUCGUGAAAGAACAUUAUUUGGGUUGAAAAGGGCUUUGGACAAAAGACAAUCAAAAUAUGUAGAGAAAAAAAGAAAAAAAGAAAAAGAAAAAGAGAAUGCAUCAUAUGAAGCAUGCACUUGUGAGAUUUCCAUAUGCCUUUCAAAUUUGGGCAUGUGAAGUCAUUCCAUUGCUUGGAAUGAAAUAUGCAAGUCGCAUUGGUAGAAGUUUUUCCAGAAUUUUAAAUUGGAUAGGGAUUGCAACUACAAAGUACACUGAGAUUCAAUCAUUAUUUUUAGAGUCAAAUGUGAGUGAUAUCUUAAUUUUUGCUAAUACUUGCUUUCUUAUUUACAUAACCGUAUUCUUAUUAUUAAUUGUUUUCUUUCUAUCUUGAAUUAUUAGUUAUCUUUGCAUUCCAUACUCACUUUGACAUUGGAAGAGGGUGAACAAGAGUAUGUGAAAUGUUUUGAAUUUGAAGCUUAGUCGGAUGAUGCCUUACAAGAUAAUGUGAAUGAUUGGGAGAAAGAUAAAUAUCAUGAAGAAGCUGAGGCUUAUACUGCAACAGUAGUAGCAACAAUGAAAGGUGAAAAAGAAGGUGAUAGUUCUAAAUUACCUUCAUUCAAGGUAACUAAAGUGAAAGUUAUUAAUAUUAUUUCACUAUACAUGUUUAAGAAUGUUUGACUAAUGUUAUAAUGUUUUUUCUUAUGUAAAGGAAUUGCUUAUGAUGUUCAUCAACAUAUUGAUGCCACUUUAUACUUUUUUUCGAAAAAAGAGGAUACUAAACUCUGAUGUGUUUACACAAAAAUUCACCACCACUGACACAUUAUUUUGGGUAUGCAUAUUAGUGCAUUUUAACUUUGUUUCAUUUUGUUUUUAAAGUUAUAUUCACCACUUUUGAUUAUUUUUUCCUUAUGUAGCAAAAAGUAGAUGGUUGUUGAAGGAUGAAUCAAAAGACAUGGAACAAAUACCUUUUACCGGAAGAUGACAUCCUCAUCGAUUAUGCCAUGGGUCUUUAUCUUAGGCCUUUUUUGAAAUGGUCUGAGGUUGAUGUCAUAUAUGUUCCUAUCAAUCUAAGGAACACACAUUGGGUACUGGGAGUUGUCCACCUUUGUAGUAGGAGAAUUAACAUUUGACUCCUUAAAGUCAAUUAACAAACCCAAUGGAUUGAAAACACUUGUCACACUGAUAGCAAUGUUGUUACCACGUAUCUUAAGUGCUACAAAAUGCUAUGGGGAGAAUGGUGACCCCAAGGGUGAACAUGCGUGGGACAUUGAGAGAUUGAACAACAUUCCACAACAAACAAAGGAGUAAGUACAAUAUUUUCCAUGCCAACACACAUAUUUCAUUAUAUAUACAAUAAUAUUUAACAUUGCUAACAUCACUUUUUAUGUGUUCAUUCAGUGGUGAUUGUGGUAUUUUUUUUAAUCAAAUUUGCAGAAGACCUGAUGAACAACCAUCCAAUGGAUACACUAAUAGGCGAGCGAAUGGAUUGGUUUCGUGAGAAGAUGGCAGCGGAGUUAUUUUUCCAUAAAGAAAUUCCUAUGGGAUCCUACUAUUGUAAAUGGAUUGAAAUUGGAUAAUGGACGAUGUUUCUAUGUAAUGACAUUGAAUUUUUUUGUUUAGCAAAUUCCUAUGUUAUAGCACGCAUUUAAAUAGUUACAUGUUUUUCAUAUAUCUAGAGAAAUGAAUGGUUGCAAAUUUAUUUACUUUUAUAAAUGUGACUGUGUUAUGAUUGUUAACAUGUUUGAAUUUAUUGUAGUAAGCAUCAUAAUAGAAACUUAUAUUUCAAUGUAGCACUCAUAUUUUUUUUGCUCAAACUUAAGGAGUGUUAAGUUACUUGUAAAAGAAACUUAACCCUAGUGCAGUUUAGGUGAAUAUCCUCAAUUAAAACUUAACUCCUACUAAAAUAUUUAUUAAAAAAACUCAACUUCAGUUUAGUUCAGGACAUUUGUUUUAAUUCAAACUUAACAAGUGUUAAUUUACUCGUAACUUACACUUAACCCUAGUGUAGUUCAGGUGAGUAUCCUCAAUUAAAACUUAACUCCUACUAUGUUCUUUAUUAAAAAAACUUAACUUUAGUUAAGUUCAGGACAUUUGUUUUAAUUCAAACUUAAUUGUUAAGUUACUUGUAAAUUAGACUUAACCCUAGUGCAGUUCAAGUGUAUAUCCUCAAUUAAAACUUAACUCCUAUUAAGUUCUUUAUUAAAAAAACUUAACUUUAGUUUCGUUGAAGUCAUUUUUUUUUUAACUGAAACUUAACUACUAUUAAGUUCUUUGGAAAAUGAACUUAACCCUAGUACAGUUCAGUUGAAUAUCCUCAAUUAAAACUUAACUCUUACUAAGUUCUUUAAUUAAAAAAAACUUAACUUCACUUUCGUUUAGGUAAGUUUUUAUAACUUAAACUUAACCAUUGUUAAAUUCUUUGUAAAAGAAAUUUAACCCUAGUGUAGUUUAGGUGAAUGUCCUCAAUUAAAGUUGUAUAUAUGAAUGAUCUCAGCAUACAUAAUGUGUUUGAUCUUAAUAUCAAUAAAAGAUUAAAACAUCUCCAAAUAUGUAUGAUCAAAUACUAACGAGACUAGUAUUCAAAAAAAUAAAAUAAAAAGUUCACUUGUCAUUUCAAAUGAGUUGGUAUUGAGGGAUGAACUUAAACUUCAUUUUUAAGCUUUAAGUUCAUCAUUUAAUUAAAAGAGACUAAAUCAAAGUACAAUUAUACGUUUUGUGCCCCUAUUCACAAUAUACAAAAAAAAUUACAAUAUCAAAUAUUUUAUAUGCCCAAUCAUCAUCUACAAAAAAUUCACCAUAAAAUUGGCUUAGUGACAGUUUCAUUCAUUCUCUGAUUGUAAGGAGCAAUCUUGCAUGCCUAUUUUAGUGUGUCCAUUAUUAUCGUUCUGAUAAUGCAGAGGGAUUGGUCGUUUGCAUGACUUUCGAUUAUGACCAUAAUCACCACAUCGACCACACCGCCAUCUGUGCUUACCCUCUCCACCCGAAAGGAUUCUUUCAUUCCUUGGUAUUCCUACUAGCCACCUUGUUUUCGGUGGUAAUACAACUCUACUGCUUAUAUCAUCAGGUAUCAUCCAAUCCCUUUGAUGUCCAGGAAGAUAGAUGGACUCGACAUAUGAAGAUAAUAAUGAGUUCACUGUGUAAUAUUUGGAGCAUAAAGGAUAGCAUGACAUAUGUGCAUAUCUACAAGCAACAAUAGCAUGUGAACACGAUAUGUGAUCAAGAUCAAACCGUUGACAUGUGCAUGAAUGAUUAUGUAAAUUCACAUGAUCACUAAAACCAUUAUAUUUAACAUUAUACUUCAUCGAGUUGAUUGCUUCAACUUCAUAUGUUGAUGAUGUAUUGUACCUUACACGAAGCUCUCCAUCAACCCAUGUUGUUAGCUCAGUUGUCAUUGACAAUGCUUGUUGUUUACGAUUUGCAAACCGUUUUUAAAGUAAAUUUCUUAACUCUUCAAUUUAUUGCAAAAUAGGAAGAUCUCUUGCAUCUUUUAACACAACAUUCAAACUUUCAGCAAUCCUUGUGGUCAAAAUGUUAUAUCUUUUUUUGGUAGAAUGUGAAUAUGCCCAUCGCUUAACACCUGCGUCUAUUAUAUAUGUUGCUGCUCUCAGAGAAAUCAUUUGUAGUUGCCCAAAUAUAAUAUUGAAUUUUGACAAGCGGUAUGUAUAAGCAACAUCAUGAACAACUUAUAGACUUCAACAUUUUUAAACUUUGUUUUGAGGUUUUUCUUCAUGUGAUAAGUGCACACACCAUGGCUUGCAUGAGGAAAAGCUUUUCGCAUAACUUUUUUAAUGUUGUUGUGACGAUCUAAAACCACCACGAGAUCAUCAACAUGGCCAAUUACUCCAUGCAAUUUUUUUAGGAACCAUUCCUAAGAAGCAUCAUUUUCAGAAUCACCAAUUCUGAAACAUAAAGGGUAUAUCUAAUUGUUUCCAUCCUUACAUGCAGCAACAAACAAAGUUCCUAAGUACUUUGCCUUCAAAAAUGUUCCAUCGAUUGUAAUGACAGGUCUUAUUGAUGUACGAAACCCAUAAAUACAUGCACCAAGAGCCAUAAAAAAAUACUUAAAUUGAUUGUCGUGGUCAAUAACUAUAUCAGUAAUGGUGUCAUAUUUUUUUUGCUCCAACACAUAACAAUAAGAUGGUAAAGCACUAUAGGACUCUUCUGGUGAUCCUCUAAUAGAACUUAGAGCAAUUCUCUAACUCUCCAUGUCUUAUCAUAGCUUAUCCCCACACCGAACUUGUUUCGAAUAUCAGCUACAAUGUCUUUUGGUCGAUAUUGAUGACCAACCCCUUGAUAUAUUUCUCUUAUGAUUUCACCAAUCAACCAACUACUUGCAUGACCAUGAUAACAGGAUAUCAUAUCCAAGCUACAAGUGUGUGUUGAAUGAUAUUUCCUUAUUUGAAAUAGAUCAGAAUUUCCCAACUUGAUUACACGAAGUUGCCACUUGCAUUCUUUAUCGACACAUCAAACAUAUAAUAACUUGGUCAAAGAUUUUAAUGUUUUGAACUAAAACUUUCUUUUCAAAGCAAUCAUGCACAACUUCUUUUGCAAUUCUUUCUUAUUGGAGUAUAUUUGAUGCUCUUCCAUGUAGUCAUCACCAGUUUCACUAUAACCAACUAUAAAUGGUUCCUCUAUGCUUUAUUCUACAUGAAUUUCAUAUUCCAUUACUGUCUUUUUCCAUUACAUCAAUUUGCAUUACUUGGCUAUCCUUGUUCGGGUUGACAUUCAUUCCACCAUCUUCAUCAUCUUUGUUCAUAUUCAAGUUAUGAGAAUCAAAACAAUUAAGUGGAUCAUAGCUCAACCUUGUUCUAUUUUCAUCAUCAAAACCACUCAAAGAUUCACUACUAUUUAUGAAUAUUGGGUCCAUAUUGAUUUCUUUCUCAACCCUAGAUAAAGUAUGAGAGCCAAAAUCAGUGUUGAUGAUUGAUUCAUACCUAUGAUUGUCACUUCUUUUCUCUAUUGUGAUACAUAAUAGAACUGGAAACUUACCAUCAAUACAAUUUAAACGAAUGAAAAAUUUCACAUCUCCAUCAUCUCUUAGCUGUAUAGGAGUGGAUGGUAUAUUGCCAUUGAAUACAUAAUUAAUCAAAAUAUUGUGCUCUAUUGGAUCUACUUUCAAAAUGUGACAAACAAUCUUCAAUAAUCCUUCAUAUGUUGUAGUCUUCUUAAGUUUAAUACUUUUACCUUGGCAACCUUCAAAGUAGUACAUGUUUCCAUUUUGCACCCAAUCUCCUUCAUACAAAAGCAUUAUUCCCACUUCAUUAAUCACUAUAACAAAAAUAAAUAAGUAAAUAAAUAAAUUGAAUUAUUGAUACAAAAAAACAAUAUUAAAAUAGUAGUUAUUUGGAUAAGAAACUCAAUCCCAGAAAGUUGUCGAUUAACAUGUUGAAUUGUACUCAACUAUCUUCAAGUUUUAUAUAUAAAGAACUUAACACUAGUAACGUCUAGUUUUUACAUGUUAAAUACGAGCUUUACUCUUUUCAUACAAAUCUUUUUAACAAAAAAUUUCACUCAUGUUUACUCUAAAAAUUUCAUUUUUUCCAUACAACCAAAUAAUGUUGAGAAUAGCAAAACUAAGAUAAUUUGUUUUCCCAAAUGGGUUUACAUACCUUCAUUCGACCUUGCCAUAUGUUUUUUUUUUUUUAAAUCUGCUUUGCUUCUAUCACCUCAAUUUUGAUGGUGGGUUGCAGUAAUGGUGUAUAGGGACGUACUCACAAUGUUAGUGAGAGAUAUGCAAAUAGAUGUAGUACCGAUGAGAAAGACAAAACUAAAAUAUUUUGCUUUUGGAGAGAUAUCAUGUCUUUGGUGGGGGAUCUUACUCUUCUCUAUUUCUCUACUCUUUUCUACUUCUCUCUAAUCAGUUUUAUUGGUGGGUUACAGAGAUGGUGUAUAUGGAUGUACUCACAGUGUUGGUGAGAGAGAUGUAGUACCGAUGAGAGAGGUAAAACUAAAGUUUUAUGCUUUUGGAGGGACAUCAUGUCUUUGGUGAGGAUCUUAUGUGUUUUUGGAAGGAAAUAAAUAAGGGUAAAAAUGUCCAAAUUAAGUCAUCUCUCAAAACAAUUAACUAGUGAGGUUACUUUUACAAUUUUACCUUUAUUUUGAGUCACCUAUUCAAAUAACGAAAAAAAAGGAAUAGAUUAUGUAAUAAAGUUAUUGGUUACCUUAGUAGCAUAGAUGGCCAUGGCAACCAAACUAGAGGAAAUGGGCAUUUGCAGAACAAUGGGCGUCAAGAAAGAGAAGUUCAAGAAAUAAAGGAAGAUGAUGGGAUUGUAGGUGUGGAGAGAGAUGUGUAUAUAGAAGGAGAUAUUUUGUAAAGAAAUAGGUUGAAAGGCGGUUGUUUGUCAACUUAAUUUGUCUUCUAGUCGGUGGAGCAAUGAAAAUGUGAGUCAACCGUUUUUGAAAUCCAUUUAGGAUUUUGAGAAUAGAGAAUAAAAUACAUGUUCACGAGGGAAAUGCUGAGGAUGGCUGACGAUCAUGACGGCAACUUUGUUGUCCAAAUGUCUCAUUGGGUGAUGGUUAACUAACAAUCAUAGGAUAAAAUCCAUGACUGCUAUAUGUGGAUUUUCUCAUUUGUUAAUGUUCCACCCCAACCUAAAAAGCAAAGCCAAAAAAAAAAAGUCAAUCCUAGAUUGUAAAAUUCAUACCCUUGUCUACAUAAAUGCUAUAGAAAUGUUAAGGGUGUGUUUGGACACAUUUUUAAAAACAUUUCUAAUGUGAUUGUUGACUGGGAAAUUGAUUAAAAAAUGCUACUUAAUCUUAUUUGAUGUUUUUUUGUUAAAGCUUUUGAUUCAUUUUAUUGAUUGUAAGGUAAGGUUGUAAAUAUUGGAUUGAUUAGGUAUAUGAAUGUUAUUUAUUCACAUAUUGAUGUAUAGAUUUGCAAAGGUUCUAGAAUCUUAAUUAAAUAAUUUUUCAAUAGUUUUUUGUUUGUUAAAUAUUGUUUGAUUUGUAAAAUAUUUAGGGAAAUGAAUAUUAAGUUUAUGCUUAUUAACUUGACUAGCCUGACUAACCUGAGCAUAAAUCUAUUAAUCUAAGCCUAACAAAUUUAAACUUGAGUUUAGAAAAAUAAGUUUAUGAAAGAUGGUAUGAAUUUUGACUUCUAAAAGAUGUAGAUAAAGGAUUCUUUGCACCAAAAAGAUUUGUAUCUAUCAUUGGGAGAGAAACCAAAACUUAUGGAUGAAAAUGAAUGGGAUUUGCUCGACUGCCAAGCCUUUGUUGCGAUUAGAUUAACCUUAUCAAAAACAGUUGCUUUUAAGAUAAAAAAACAAGUGCACAACAUGUCCCUCGUGGCCACCCUAACCAGUAUGUAUGAACAACCUUCUUGUGGACCCCGUAUUUCUGCUCAUGCGUUUCCACUCGAUGACGAGCUCACUUUUUUAUUUAAAAAAAUGAUUUAUUUUUUUAGAAAAUGACUUGGAGUCGCUACUUAUUUUUGUUUAAUUUUUAAAGGGUAAACAAAAUAAGAAAGAAAACUCUAAGUGUAACUCCUUAUUUGGAAAAAGUGGCCUGCGAAAAACCUGAUCUGGGUUCGAGGGUCAGGUUACUUAUCGGGAAUGUACGAUAAAGACCGUAGCACGCCUCUAAGUCCCUAAAAUCGGGUCUCUACUAAUAAGAUGAAGCAAUCAUGGCAAUUUGUAAGAAGAUCAAUGGAUACCGAAUGAAAAUCAAAACAAAAUGCCCGAAUGAAUAUAAGAGGCAAAGAACGUACCUAAGUGAUGAACUAAUUUAUUUCAUGGGAAGCAAAGGUUAGCAAACAAACACGAAAUAAUCGCAUGUAUUACAAAGUAAAUCAAGCAAGCAUGGCAACCAAGCAUGGCAAUUAAUUAGUCAAUGAGAAAAUCACACAUGUGGGGCCCCACCAAAACCCGAUUUAUUUUAGCAUAGAUUAAUUCCAUAAAUUUCAUUACUUGAAUUAUAGAAUUAUUCGGGCUUAUUAAAAAUGUGAAAAUCAGAAAAAAUAAAAAUAAAUCAAGGAGAAUUUAUGAAAGAUGUUUGCUGGAAAGAAAUGUGGCAACCAAUUUUAUUAAAAAAAGGGAAAAAUUUAAAAUUAACAAAUAAUAAUAAUAAUAAUAAUAAUAAAAUAAUGAUAAGAAUAAAAAUAAAAUAAAAUAAAUAUAAAUAUAAAAUAAAAGAUGCAUGCUAAGUGAAAAAUGGUAGCAAUUGAUUUAUUAAAACGGGAUUUAUUUAAAACCAAGAGAGAAAAAUUGAAGAAUUAAAAUGAUUUGGAAGCAAGAUUUUUGAAAAUCGAGUUUUGGAGGCAUGCAUAAAAAUAAGUAAACAAAGGAAGCAAGUGCACUUAAAAAAAAAAAAAAAAAGGAACAUAGGGGUGCGCACCUUGUACAUUAGUUGUACGCCGUUUCCGAAAUCACCAAUGGAGCUGGAAAAUACAAGAAGGUGAUGAGUGUACUGAAACUGGAGAUGAGUGAGAACUGACCAAGAAAAAACCCCAAAAUGACCAUGCGAAUGAGGAGCCUUGUGAACUUGGCAUCAAUUCUUCUUUGGGGGUACGAUACCCAGGCCAUGAAAAGUUCAGAUUGCUGGAUGGACACAAGACAGAGAUGAGAAUGAUACUCGGGCAGGCUACAUUAUUCCAUAAAGAAAUGCUUCAAUCUUGCUCAUUCAGAUCCUCUUGACCUUUGAAGAGGUUUCUAUUUCAGAAAAAGUAGGUACUGUAGGUGACACUUCCAAGCUGAUUUGCAUGAGCCUAGGGUUGGACAGCUCAAUUCCUCUGACCAACUGAUACGCAAAUUCCUAUUUCCGGCCGGACUAAGCAUUCUAUAUCCUCCCCCCAGUCCAUCCCCUAAUGAACUCUCUUCAAGAAAUACCAAAUUGCUGUUGGGGAUAAAUGUAUGCCCAAGAUCCAAUCUAUCAUGUAAUCAACUUUAGUUUUAAUAAGGUAUUAAUUCUUUAUUUCAUUAUCAUAUCUGUUUAAAAUAGUUUAUAUGAUAAGGUCCUUGAUUAAAAUUUGAAAAUUGUUAUCAUGAUAGAGAUUAUGAUAAUGAGAAGCAAUUCUUUUAAUAAUUUUAAUCUAAACUGUUCUUGAUCAUAGGAUUAUUGUCAACAGGACAUCAAUAAUCCAGAUAGAUCAAUAUAUAUGUGAUGGUCUUUAUUGGAUAAAGAUUGAUAUAUCUCAUUUGUUAAAUUACAUAUAUAGAUGAUGCACAUGUAGAUGUGAUCAUUGAACUGACUCAACUGAGAAUUUCUAAUGGUUAUCUUUACCUUAAAUUGUCAAUAGGAAUUUCUCAAGAAGAAAUAUAAUAGUUUUCUUUGACCUGAGAUUAUCAAAGUAAUUAACAAGUUAUUUAUUAUAUUUUAAUCCCGGACACCUAAUGCCUUAGGGCACUAGUUGAAUGGAUAUUGGAUAUAAUUAAAUACUUGUAGAAUUAAUGAUUAAUCAAGAAGGAAUCCAUCAACUCGUGGUAAUGAGUUUGAGCUCUAUGAUAAAAAUAAGACCUUGGCCAAGGGCAAUUGAAUGAAUGAAGAAAUGAGUUUCUUAAGUCAUAAGUCAUUCACUAAAUAAAUAAUGUGUUGACUUAUUAGAGUUUGACAGUAAUACCAUACUCUAGAGUUAGCCCAGAGCUGUAAAUGAUGGAAGGAAAUAUUACAUUAUUCUUCUACCGGUUCUUGAAAGUAAAAGAUAUUACUUCAUACUAUCUGGACGUUAAGGAGUGUUGCUAGACGCCUACCUUAAUUAGUAAAUUGAUUUGAUUAAUUUACUACCAGCUUAGUAAUGAACCUACGGGGUCACACACAAACGAGUGUUUUAAUCUUUGCAAAGAGCUAUUUAUUAUUAUUUGAUAAUUAAAUUAGAGAAUUUAAUUUUAAUCAAAUAAAUAAAUAUGUUCUAUGUGGAAUAUUAUUAUAUUCUUUGCUAGCACCAAGAAUAUAAUUAAUAUAUAGAUAAAUAAAAUAAAAUAUUUUUCUUUGGACGUGGAAGUUAGUCCACGAGAAUGUUUGCUAAACAUUUGCAAACAUAUGGGUACAUGCAGCAACUUACAGGAGGGAUGUGGGUUUUGUUUUUAACUUACAAGACUUGGUCAAAGUGUUUUUCAAAUGCUAUUGAAAAUAGCAAAAGAAAAACAAAUGGACCAAUAGAAUCUCUUAGUAGCCCAAAAAAAAGGAGGACACGAUAGAGAUAGAUUAAGUGAUAAAAUCAAAAAAAUCAAAUUAGUUGAGUUAUCUUAUCACUUAAAACAGAAGUUGUAUCGGAUAUGCUAUAUAGCAUAUAUACACAAUCUGAAUAAGGAUCGAUCUAUCUUUAUCCUCCUUGUUUUUACGCCAAAGAAAUACAAAGUGUUGUUCUAUUUUUUUUUAAGUUCCGCGUAUCAAAGGGUUGAUAGCAAAGAUUAAUUUCGGUGUGGAUACACGUAGAGUCUUCAUACAAUUGGAGAAAAAUUUAUGCUUGAAGAAUUGAUAUCCAGGUUAUUAUUUUAAAUUUUUUGAUAGCUGCGGUAUAUAUUUUGAAUGCAAAAUAGAUCAAUUUCCCGCUGUAUGUGUUAUAAAUUUAUUUUAUAACCUUUGAAUUGCAUCCUAUUGGCUAGCCUCCUCAUACCCGUUAUGGCAUACCUCUCCUUCAUCUUUCUUAGCCGAUGACCACCUCUCUUUUCUUUAGGCUCGGGAUCAGAAACUGGAAAAGGUUUAGGUUGUUUUGCAGGAGGUGGCUCCUGCCAUUUCUCAAUCUUCUUAAGGAUCUCUAUUCAAUGGAGUUCAAAAACUUAAACAAUAUGGUCUGAAGGCAUGACAUGGACGAUUUCUGAUUAAAGUUCCGAUGAUUCAAGUAGGAGACGUUCUCAUGGGGGAGAAUCCGAAACAGCGUCUAUGCCCUGAGUCACAAAUUUGUCUAGGAAUUUCAGAUAUAGCAGAUGCUCAGAGGAGAGUGCUUCUUCUUCAACCACAUCUUUCAUUGCUUGAACAUCCUUCCCAAUUGCAUAAUUUGCAUAGAGCUGAUUGGAUACAUCGGGUCAUGCCCUCACCAAUGUCACUCUUCAUUAAACGAGACAGUGAUGGGAGGACAUUGAUUGGUGGGUAUACCUGUCGAUUGUGGAGCUGUUUGUCAAUGUAAAUCUGGUCCUCAGUGGGAGCGGGAUGUGUUAUAUCAUCAUAGGGCAUAGUUAAAAUCGGGAUUUGUGUAAUGGGACCCUUCCUUCUUUCAAUACGUCCAGGCUCCAGCACGUUCGUAAAUUGUCGCCAGAUCAGCACACAUAUACCCAGGAUACCCACGCCUUCCGGGAACUUCUUCUCGGGCAGCAGAUACCUCAUAAAGAGCAUCUGCAUCAGAACUCAUAUCUGCUAGUAUGACAAGAACAUGUUUGCCACAUUCAUAUGCUAAAUAUUCAGCAGUGGUGAGAGCAAUGCGAAGAGUGAUGAUGUGUUCAAUGGUGGGGUCGUUGACCAGGUUGAGGAAUGGAGUCACUCUCUCCAUUGAUCUAUUUUCCUCGAAAUCACGUUUUUGAAAAAAAAAGCUGUGCAGUCUCCAUGUUUCCUCCCAUAGCUGCAAAAAAAAAACAAUGGCAAAGUUGUCCUCUUCCACGUCCUGUAGGAGACUUCCAGACUUCACAUUAUAUCCGAAUGUGGAAACGCCAACACAUCUUCAGCAUGUACUCAACCAACCCGAACGUGAAGCUCGAUAGUCCCCUCAUCAUCCAUUGAUGUCACAGUAUCUAGAGGGGAAGAACCAUCCAGAACAAUUGCAAAUCUUGAUGGUGAGAGAGCCACGAAGUUGGGAUCCUCGCUGAUCAUCACCGCAUGCAUUGACGCGCGUGGACGAUAAGGGAGCCAGGUGUGUCUGCUCAUGUCAAUUCCGACGUGAUUGGCAAAGCGUAAAGGACAUGGAGAGCCCCAUAAGCAACCUCCUUCAUGUCGGGAACUGAGACUCUAUGACCUCCAGACUUGAAGGCUCCAUGAAUAGUCAAAGAUUCGACUUCCUGUAGGUUUGCCACAUCCUGAACAGACCUGAAUUUUCUCUUCUUUCGGACCCUUGUCUCAGAAAAUGGUUCCAUAGCUGUCACGUGUUUCAGAGGCAAAUUGAUGCCUUGGAUUAAGAGGGUCUGAUGAUAGAGUCUUCUGAUUGAAACAGAACUCUUCCAAUAAAUGCUUCUGAAAUGAAUAACAAAACUAGGCCAAAAUAAGGGUGUACACUUCUACAAUAAAUAAGGCAUACCUAAUUAUGAAGCUCUUUAAUUUGAAGAUGCUUGAGAACAAAAAUUUUAAGCAACAUUUGAAUGAAUUUGCGAGUGAGAUAGAUUGCAAGAGGAGCACUACAAAGUAUGUCUAAGGAUACUUAUAACCAUUAGUUGGAUUUCACACUUUAGGCCUACAACUGAAGCAGAGUACAUGGUUAAUUAUGAUAAAAGUUAGCAAAAAGAUGAUUUGGUUGCAGCAAUAUUCAUUAGCAAAUUUAUGAGUCAAACAUAUGAUGAAUGUAUUAAAGUGAAAGACAUAUGGCUAAUUCAAUAUUUCAUUUAAUGACUAAAUAUAUUGUACUUUGUUAUCACUUCAUCAAGUUUUCACUUGAAGAUGGAGUGUCAACAUUUGUGAAGAUACAAGGUAGCAAGAAUCCAACUAACAUGUUGACCAAAAUAGUGAUAAUAGAGAAACUGGAGUUGUGCAUAGCUUUAAUGGGUCAUGGGUGAGGAUGGGUUGUUUAAGUGCACACCAUAUUCAUUAAUCAUUAAAGGAAGAUAUUUAGUUGUACUUUAGUUUUUAAGUGGGAGAUUGUUGGAUUAUAAAGUUUGAAUCAUUCUUAUCAUGCUACAUAGGAGAUGUCGAGGAUUGAAUGACAAGUUUGCCCCUAUUGUAUUUAACCCUUUAUGAUUCAAGGUUUAGUUAGAGAGUGGAAAGAAAAUAGCAUGGCCACAAUUGAAAGGAGGAGAGUUUUCACCAUAGUAACUUUUGUAUUUUCAUUUCAUUAGUGGAUUUUUGAGUGUUAGUGCAUUCGUGAAUGUAUGAUUCACAAUAAUCGUUGAACCAUGUUAAUUUUUUUUCUCUCUCUUAUUUUUGCUUAUGUAUAUGUGCUUAUGUUAAUCGGUUGUGAUUAGAUUAAUUGACUACUUGACUCGAACCAACCGGACUUGCAUGAGUUGCAUCCUUAUGAGGUUAAGGUUUUUGUGGAUAGGGGAUGGGAUGAAGAGGAUGAGGACAUUUUUUGCCCUUUCACAUUCAAGUUUUAUUUGAAAGUUAAAUACAAUUGUAUGCAUACAUUUCAUGUUGUUUGAUCUAAGAAAGAUGGGAAAAAAGAUAAAACAAAUUUAUAUUAAUAUAUAAGAAAAAUGAAUGUCAAUAAUAUGACCAUGUGCUUUAAUUUGAUCUUGUAGUUGAUCUUAGUUCAAGAUGACACAAAUUCUUGAAUAAAAAAUGUGGUCUAAGGGUCAACUAGACUUGAUCUUGACUUUGUUACCUAAAAUGUGGUCUUCAUCUUUAAAAGAAUGAAAGAAAACUACUUAUUUUUUGCUUUAAUUAAUUUUUUUUCAUGGGCUUGCCAAGAAAUGUCGAAUAGUAAAGGAUGUUCAAACUUGUUGAAGAUUCAUUCACUAUUCAAGCUCAUUUGUUACUCAAACUUCCAUCAAAAGGAUACAUGAGCUACUCUUGUUUAAAAAACCUCAUGAAUUUUUGUCCACUCUUCAAUUUUUUUUUUUUCCUUAAAGAAAAUGUUAUAAUGGUUUCAUUUUAAAUGUUCAUGCCAGAACUUCAACUUCUCUACUUGCACUCCUCCCUUUGAAAUCAAGGAUAGUUUGUCUAUGUUUUAGAAAGUUUAAAUAAUGAGACCAUUAUAUUUGACACUUCAAUUCAAAUUUGAAAUAUUGCCAACAUAUGAAUCUAAAGUUUAAAUUUAGACAACACUUAAAAGUUGAUUUGUCAAUCAAAUUCACUUUUAAACUUUUCAUUAAUUCUUAACUUAAAAAUAAAUUAUAUUACCUAGAUUUUAUGCAAUUUAUAAAUUAGUAAAUUUUUUCUUAUUUUUUAAGUAAAUUUAGAUAUAAAUUUUUUUUUUUUGAGGAAUAUAUAUUAAAAACAACACAAAUUAUAUUUUGAUCGGAUAAACCAAACAUAAUUAUCUUACUUUAAACAAAUAUUAAAUACAUCGGUAUAAGAGUGAAAGACUAGGGAUCUGUUUAGUAAUUGUUUUUUAGAACAAUUUUCUAUUUUUCAUAAUAAAAUAAUAAGAAAAUACGUUUGAUAGAAACUAUUUUCUUUUUUCUUUUCUUAAGAUAAGAAAAUAUGAUUUUUUUAGAUAACAUCUUUAAUUAUUUUAUAUUGUUUUCCCUUGUUUUCUAAAAGUUAUCUCAUAAAAUAAUUAUAAAAUGAUUAAAAAUAAAACACAUGAUAUAAGAAUUAUUUUUGAAACAUAUUUUAAAAUAUUAAAAACGGGUUAAAAACAAAAUCAGAAAACAUGUUCUCAAAAAUAGUUUUUCAAAACUAUUUUCGAAAACAGCUAUCAAAUAGUGUCUAAUUAACUAGGUAAAAAGAAAACAUCUAUUUAUUCUAAACAAAUAUAAUUGAAUACAUUAACACGACAGUGUUAACUAAAAAUAUAUUCGAUAAUUAUUACUUCUCUUUCAAAGCAAAUACUACAUAUCACCGUCCAAUAAUUGUACAAGAAAAUAUAUAUUUUCUAAUUUAUAAAAUAAAUAAUAAUAAAGUAGUAAAUAUUUUAAAUAUCAAACAAGAUUGAAGAUUCUAUCCAUGGUAUGGAAAACCACUUUAUUUAGUCACGUGUGAUUGUCAUCUCUGCAACCUGAAACAUUUCCUCUAUUCAUCAUGCAGACUUUCCAGGAGUUCCUAGACCUGGGGGACCUUUACCGCGGCAUCUGGUGAUGGGUGAGCAACCCCUUUGCCAUCGAUGGGCUUCUUGAGGUGGAGCCUUGGGAUUCUCGCGACAACCCACUGGUGGACUCGGUCCAUGGCAUGGGUCUAGGAACUUAUCAAUGUCAACCUCACCAUGUACGUACAUGACCAAAAUCAUGCUGACAAGAGUCAGACAUAUGAGCCAUUUCUUCGUGAUGGAGAGUCCCAUGAUCUCUAUGUUAAAUUCCUUUUUCUUUAGCUUCCAAUGCAUGGCUAGUCAUG